rnacentral:rRNA from 1 species
AUUGAACGCUGGCGGCAUGCUUUACACAUGCAAGUCGAACGGUAACAGGGAGCUUGCUCCGCUGACGAGUGGCGAACGGGUGAGUAAUGCGUCGGAACGUGCCGAGUAGUGGGGGAUAACGCAUCGAAAGGUGUGCUAAUACCGCAUACGUACUGAGGUAGAAAGUGGGGGACCUUCGGGCCUCACGCUAUUCGAGCGGCCGACGUCUGAUUAGCUAGUUGGUGAGGUAAAGGCUCACCAAGGCGACGAUCAGUAGCGGGUCUGAGAGGAUGAUCAGCCACACUGGGACUGAGAAUCGGCCCAGACUCCUACGGCGGGCAGCAGUAGGGAAUUUUGGACAAUGGGCGCAAGCCUUAUCCAGCCAUGCCGCGUGUCUGAAGAAGGCCUUCGGGUUGUAAAGGACUUUUGUCCGGGAGCAAAUGCCUGGUGUUAAUAGCACUGGGAGCUGAGAGUACCGGAAGAAUAAGCACCGGCUAACUACGUGCCAGCCGCCGCGGUAAAAC